rnacentral:lncRNA from 1 species
GGUAGCUGGGUGGAGAAGACCUGGUGAUAAUCCAGUAUAGACCAUGCUGGAAGGCCACAUUGGCAAACAGGUAGGCAUGCGUAAGGUAGUGAGCAGGACCUGGUACUAAGACAAGAUAGAGGGUUAGGACUCCAUCCCUGGAUGGAUGACUGGCCCCUGUGUGUUUAUAAGACUCUUCAAAUUUUGGGGUGAUCACUUAGUCUGUACCUCCCCAAAUCACCCUCCACCAACUGAAUUAUGGUGAACACAGGCCCAGCAAUGUCUCUUCCAGGCUGAAAGCCUUCAGGUUCACCCCUAUUUUCCACAGAAAGAAGCCAACUCCUCUUCACCCUACUCCAUCUCUACCAGGAAGGAUUUCCCUCAUUCUCGGCUGGGAUGAGAGCCUGAGAAACAGAGAAGGAGCAAUUGAGCACUGUGGAAUGGAGAAGAAGAUGCUGGCUGGAACCAAACUCACCAGCAGGGGCUUCCCUGGCUGGCUUUGGGUCUCUGGGUCUGGAGGGACUGCAGUGAGGUGGGCCUGAAACGCUGUCAGUCCCUGCAGAACCUCUGAAGCAGCACACAAAUGGCUCCCCUUGUGCAAGGUGCUGUCAGCUCACAAUCAACUUUCCAGAGGAAGCAACCCUCUCCCAGGCCCUCUGGGACCAAGUUCUGGAUCGCAUGCCCUUUCACAUACAAAACUUUCCUUGGUCCUCCCUACCAUCGCCUCUACUUCUCUUUUUCAAGACCACCAGAUUUCCCUGGUGAGCAGUCUACACAGACAGCUGCUUCCCCACGCCUCCUAAACACUCUGCAGUCUGUCUUCACUGCUUUCUACAACUUUCUUCUCCAAAACUUCAACACCCUCCUCUCAGGGCCAGGAACACCCUCUCACCCCACCCCGCCCUUGCUGCGUUCUCAGUGGCCUGGAACUUCGGCCCUCUGUCCCGGGCUCCUCCACUCACACAAACUGCACAGGGAGUGUCCCCAGGGGAGUCUCUCCAAGGUCUCAGCAUUCCUUUCUCUGGAGCUUAUCGCCUUUCCUGGUUUCACCUGCCCUUGGGGACCAAAGAUCCCUCAAGACUCUCACUGCCAGCCAGGGAUUUCUCUCUUCCUCACAGGGCUCAAGCAGAAGCCAUAUUUCAUCUCCCUAUCAAUCUCUGUUUCCAGUCCCCCUGCUCCUUUCCAAAGUAUUCCCACUCUCCAGGACAUUCAGGACUCCAAAUUCCUGUCACUUCUGUCCCCUCCAUCUACUCAUACCUGUAGCUUUAUUGGCUUCAAGACUGGAAUGCCCCCCCCAAACCCACCACACUGUCUGCUGUCCUGCACCAUUUCUUCAUUCCUUAGCGUCCUAACGCUCUUUCUUUUCUUUAUUCCAGUUGAUACCAUUCAAGCUUUCUCCCCACCUCAGUAAAAUUAAAAUAAAUGCUACAGUCCUACUGAUUCGGGGCCAGGACAUUUUUAUUUUUAUUUAUUUAUUUUAAAGAUUUUAAUU